AAAAAUCUAACCCGACGUCUCGCGGGUCAAUAUUUUUUAUUAUCAUAACUUAAUAUGACAAAUUUCCUAAUGAUAAAAAUAAAUCAAGUUAGAAUAAAAACAAAACAUGAAAUCAAAUAUAAAAACUCACCUAGUCUAACUCACGGUUGACCUGAGGAAUGGCGAGGAGCAGCUGGUGGUUCGGUGAUGGGUCGCCGUUCGGAACAGGGAUGGUCGUCGGAGGUCCGGCGAAGUCCAGCAGUAACCACACCUGCAGCAAAACAGAGAAGGCAGCAGAUGGUGAUUGCGCAGCAAGG
rnacentral:lncRNA from 1 species